CUGUGAUGCCCUUAGAUGUCCUGGGCCGCACGCGCGCUACACUGAUUGAAUCAACGAGUUUAACACCUUGGCCGAAGGGCCUGGGUAAUCUUCUGAAAUUCAAUCGUGCUGGGGAUAGACUAUUGUAAUUAUUAGUCUUCAACGAGGAAUUCCUAGUAAGCGCAAGUCAUCAGCUUGCGCUGAUUACGUCCCUGCCCUUU
rnacentral:rRNA from 1 species